rnacentral:rRNA from 1 species
UGGGGAAUAUUGGACAAUGGGGGCAACCCUGAUCCAGCCAUGCCGCGUGUGUGAAGAAGGCCUUUUGGUUGUAAAGCACUUUAAGCAGUGAAGAAGACUCCAUGGUUAAUACCCAUGGACGAUGACAUUAGCUGCAGAAUAGCACCGGCUAACUCUGUGCCAGCAGCCGCGGUAAUACAGAGGGUGCAAGCGUUAAUCGGAAUUACUGGGCGUAAAGCGAGCGUAGGUGGCUUGAUAAGUCAGAUGUGAAAGCCCCGGGCUUAACCUGGGAACGGCAUCUGAUACUGUUAGGCUAGAGUAGGUGAGAGGAAGGUAGAAUUCCAGGUGUAGCGGUGAAAUGCGUAGAGAUCUGGAGGAAUACCGAUGGCGAAGGCAGCCUUCUGGCAUCAUACUGACACUGAGGUUCGAAAGCGUGGGUAGCAAACA